CGUUUUAAGAACUAAUUUAAAAUAUAUCCUGCUCCAUGAGAAUAAAUAGCCGCAGAACUUUUACUGUGCUAAGGUAGCAUAAUCACUUGCCUUUUAAUUAAAGGAUAGAAUGAAUGGACAAACAAGUAUUAAACUAUUUCAAUUACAAUAUAUAAAAUUUCAAUAAAAGUAAAAAUACUUUUAAUUAAAAGGAAGACGACAAGACCCUAUCGAACUUUACAUUAGUUAAGCUGGGGCGGCACAUUAAAAAAAUCUUAAUUUCAAUUUCACAACAAAUCUAAACAAAUUAAAUUUAACAAGUUACCGUAGGGAUAACAGCAUAAUAAAUUUUUAAAGCUCUCAUUUAAGAAUAAGAUUGUGACCUCGAUGUUGAAUUAAUAUACCUGUUUCAUAAGAUGCAAAAAUCUAACAAGGAAGUCUGUUCGACUUUUAAAAUAUUACAU
rnacentral:rRNA from 1 species